CGCAAGCCUGAUGCAGCCAUGCCGCGUGUGUGAAGAAGGCCUUCGGGGUUGUAAAAGCACUUUCAGUUGUGAGGAAGGUGGUGUCGUUAAUAGCGGCAUCAUUUGACGUUAGCAACAGAAGAAGCACCGGCUAACUCCGUGCCAGCAGCCGCGGUAAUACGGAGGGUGCGAGCGUUAAUCGGAAUUACUGGGCGUAAAGCGCAUGCAGGUGGUUUGUUAAGUCAGAUGUGAAAGCCCGGGGCUCAACCUCGGAACUGCUAUUUGAAAACUGGCAGACUAGAGUACUGUAGAGGGGGUAGAAUUUCAGGUGUAGCGGUGAAAUGCGUAGAGAUCUGAAGGAAUACCGGUGGCGAAGGCGGCCCCCUGGACAGAUACUGACACUCAGAUGCGAAAGCGUGGGGAGCAAACAGGAUUAGAUACCCUGGUAG
rnacentral:rRNA from 1 species